AGUGAACGCUGGCGGUAGGCCUAACACAUGCAAGUCGAACGGCAGCACAGUAAGAGCUUGCUCUUACGGGUGGCGAGUGGCGGACGGGUGAGGAAUACAUCGGAAUCUACUUUUUCGUGGGGGAUAACGUAGGGAAACUUACGCUAAUACCGCAUACGACCUACGGGUGAAAGCAGGGGAUCUUCGGACCUUGCGCGAUUGAAUGAGCCGAUGUCGGAUUAGCUAGUUGGCGGGGUAAAGGCCCACCAAGGCGACGAUCCGUAGCUGGUCUGAGAGGAUGAACAGCCACACUGGAACUGAGACACGGGACAGACUCCUAAGGGAGGCAGCAGUGGGGAAUAUUGGACAAUGGGCGCAAGCCUGAUCCAGCCAUAACGCGUGGGUGAAGAAGGCCUUCGGGUUGUAAAGCCCUUUUGUUGGGAAAGAAAAGCAGCAGGUUAAUACCCCGCUGUUCUGACGGUACCCAAAGAAUAAGCACCGGCUAACUUCGUG
rnacentral:rRNA from 1 species